rnacentral:lncRNA from 1 species
UCCUUUCUACCUUUCUGCCUCUCUCAGUAAAGGCUGUUAUUAAGUAACAAAUUCGGGUGGGUCAAGGGCAGAGUAACCAAGAGAUCUCAGCAAGCAUGAGGGAGAUUCAAGGAGCUGGCAUUGUGUGACUGGGGACAGAAAAGCCCUCAUGCAGGCAGGCGGGUCACAAUUGUUCCCUUCAGAUUUCUGAGGGGCUGCCUUGGUGGGAGAGGGGGUAGUUCAGUUCUGUGGGGCUCCAGGGGGCAAAAGGCAUGAUAAAUGAGUAGAAGUCAUGGAGAGGUGGAGCUUGCCUCCAGACAGAAUGCUAAGAAGGAUGCUGCUGCACAGUGGGGACUGAGCCAACUCACUGUUCAACAAAUAAGCAUUGGAGGGUCUCUAGUUCCAUAGAAAGAAGGCAAAUGAAGAGGACAGAAGAAGGAGAGAGACCUUCCCACCCCAUCAGCCCUAUGCUGCAGAGAGGGAUCCCACAUCUACUUCUCUUGCAGAAACCAACUGGUGGAAGUGACCUUCUCAUGGAGUGUCCUUCACAAGAAGAGUAUCCCCAGCACACAGAUGAGAUUAUCAAGUCCAUGGGGGAAAAGUGAUCUGUCUGCAAUACCUAGUGAAUCACUGACCCAUCUAGGGGAUGAAAUGGGAACAUCUGGCCCCUUUCUAGGGAGCCACAUGCCAUCGAGGCCAUUGGUCAGAACGCAGAGAGAGUCACGAAGACCCCCUUCAGUGCAUUACAGCAUCUGGGAUGUCUCACUUGGAUUUGGCGAUGUUUAAUUAGAAAUGCAGGAGUGGCUGUAUUGGAGAGGGGACCGAGAGUACUGUGUUGGAGUGUGGGUUUGGAGGAGAGAGUACAGUGGACAUAUGAGGAUCAUGAUUGGCUAGAAAAAGGCAAGGGAAUGUCACCUCCAUCUCAGGCCCUCCACUCAUCCUGGACAACUGUUAGAAUUUUUAAGGGCUCCAAAGAGAUCCAGUUACGUUGCCCAGAGUGAGUCUGAUAAUCUGUUUGCAGCCCCAGCAUGUGCGGAGGACUCCCUCUGGGAAGGUGUGGGGAGUUGAGGCUGGCUUUUGGUAGGGGGAGUUGAUUAAAUGCAACCUACUUUCCCCUUCCAAAUUCCAACCAUGGCAGGGUUUGGUCAACUACCCUGGCCCAAGAUGAAAGACCCUCAGGAAGGUUCUUUAGAGGACCUGGCCAUUCCUAACAGAGCUGCAGUGUGAACACCUGCUCAGAGGAAACAUUUUAACAGGUUCCAGACCACCUGGAAAGAGCUGGUGUAGUCAAGAGUAUUUUCCUAUGAUGUUGGUGUUGAUUCUGGAAACCAUCCCCCUGAAGAAAAUAAUAACAUGAAUAAUACUGGCUAACAUUUACUGAGCACUUACUUUGUGCCAGGAGCUGCUCCAAACACUUCCUGCUUGUUUCUCAGACCUCAGAGUGUCAGUAGGCAUCACUUUACAGAUGAGGAACCCGAGACCCAGAGGGGGAGGCCCCCAGAGAAAGGCGGUAGCAGGGCCCUGGACCUCCCUGUCUCUUCCUGGCCCCUUCAUCCUGGGUGUGUCUGUGGCUAGGUUCAGUGCUUAUCAUAGCUAAGUGCUGGAAGCUCGUGAAACAGAGUUUACCCUGCAGUGGUUUGAGUGUGGCUCUGAAGUCAGACUGAGCCUGAAUCACUGCUCAGCUUCUGGCUAUCAGUUUGAUCGUGGACAACCACUUAAACUCCGUGAGCUUCAGCUUCCUUGUCUCUAACAAAGAUGGGUACAAUAGCAUCACACAGGAUGUUGUAAGGAUGAAGCAAGUUCCUACAUGAAAAGUGUUGAGAACAGCUCCUGCCUCAUAGAGUAAAGGCUCAACAGGUAAGCUGGUGUUGUUGCUGUUGUUAUCUUCAUGGGAAUGGUUUUCAGAGUCAACAUUAGUGUGAUGGGGAACACAGCAAAAAUGCCGGAAAGGAUAGGGCACACAAAUAAGAAAAAGGAUAUUUUCUAAGAGUUUUGCUAAGAUCUGAGUGGGAAUAACUCUCCUGAAUUGAACUUCCCUCCCAGCAACUGCUUUCUGUAGCCAAGAACACAGUGGGGGUGUUCUCCAGGGUGGAGGGGUUACUCUGACAGCUUGUCAGAGCCGCUUUUCAAAUGUGGCUGAAAAAGCCUCUGGGCCCCAGGUUCUUGCCCUCAGUGCCUGAAGUAGACUGCCCUGAAGCUUGGAGCUGGCCAGGAAACCAGUAGUGGUAAGCUUUGGAGUGGUGGGAAAUGCCCUGAGCCCAUAGUAAUGGACUGGAUCCUGAAGGUUCAGGGCUCUAAUCUGUCCCUGACAUGCUGUGUGACCCUGAACAAGUCAAUUGCCUUA